rnacentral:rRNA from 1 species
UACGAAGGGUGCAAGCGUUAAUCGGAAUUACUGGGCGUAAAGCGCGCGUAGGUGGUUCAGUAAGUUGGAAGUGAAAUCCCCGGGCUCAAACUGGGAACUGCUUUCAAAACUGCUGAGCUAGAGUACGGUAGAGGGUGGUGGAAUUUCCUGUGUAGCGGUGAAAUGCGUAGAUAUAGGAAGGAACACCAGUGGCGAAGGCGACCACCUGGACUGAUACUGACACUGAGGUGCGAAAGCGUGGGGAGCAAACAGG